rnacentral:rRNA from 1 species
AGAGUUUGAUCCUGGCUCAGAACGAACGCUGGCGGCAGGCCUAACACAUGCAAGUCGAGCGCUUAUCUUCGGAUAGGAGCGGCGGACGGGUUAGUAACGCGUGGGAAUAUACCCAGUUCUAAGGAAUAGCCUCUGGAAACGGAGAGUAAUACCUUAUACGCCCUUCGGGGGAAAGAUUUAUCGGAAUUGGAUUAGCCCGCGUUAGAUUAGAUAGUUGGUGAGGUAACGGCUCACCAAGUCAACGAUCUAUAGCUGGUUUGAGAGAAUGAUCAGCCACACUGGGACUGAGACACGGCCCAGACUCCUACGGGAGGCGUCAGCUCGUG